ACUGGAGGACCGAACCGACUAAUGUUGAAAAAUUAGCGGAUGACCUGUGGCUGGGGGUGAAAGGCCAAUCAAACCGGGAGAUAGCUGGUUCUCCCCGAAAGCUAUUUAGGUAGCGCCUCGUGAAUUCAUCUCCGGGGGUAGAGCACUGUUUCGGCUAGGGGGCCAUCCCGGCUUACCAACCCGAUGCAAACUGCGAAUACCGGAGAAUGUUAUCACGGGAGACACACGGCGGGUGCUAACGUCCGUCGUGAAGAGGGAAACAACCCAGACCGCCAGCUAAGGUCCCAAAGUCAUGGUUAAGUGGGAAACGAUGUGGGAAGGCCCAGACAGCCAGGAUGUUGGCUUAGAAGCAGCCAUCAUUUAAAGAAAGCGUAAUAGCUCACUGGUCGAGUCGGCCUGCGCGGAAGAUGUAACGGGGCUAAACCAUGCACCGAAGCUGCGGCAGCGACACUGUGUGUUGUUGGGUA
rnacentral:rRNA from 2 species